UCGAAGCUCUGACCAACUGCCAAACACCACAGGGAGGCUAGGAUGCCCUUCCUAAUUAGGAUCUGUUAGCUGGAAAGAACACAGUCUCUCAACUGCCUGUGCCUGCUUGUUCACCCUGUGUGUGUUGUGUGCAGUGCAGUAGCUCUCUCCUUGUGGCUUGUCUUUCCUCACUCCCAGAAUAAGCAUAAGGCUCGUCCCGCUCCUUCUGUCUCAUACCUAGCAAGGUUUAUCCUUCUUUCCUACUGAGUUGACUAAAGCAUCUUGAACAGAGAGGGGUGGUCUCAGAGUGAAGCACCUUGCUCACUAAGAUCAGCCUGUGAGGAAAGGAGCUCCAGGAGUCUGAGCUCAUGUCAGAAUAGGGAGUGCCAUCACCCCCCCCCCCCCCCUUCUUCCUUGUGCAUUUGUUUCAGAAUUCCCCACUCAUGGAACACAUUUGUAGGUAGUAAUGAAAGAAAAUGGUUUGGUAUGCAAAAGCACGCUAAACCAGAUAGAUUUGAAAGCUGACGCUAGGCCUGUUUGGUCCAUCAUUGGCUCCUAGUUUUUACAUGUUUACAGUUGUGAUUCUUUGGUGAGAUUUGUGAACUGUGGAGGACACGUGUAGAAUCCAUGUACCAGUUGUGAAGUGAUGUGUAAUAUCGGAAGGACACACAUUUUAACAGUUCUUUCAAAGCAGAAUUUGGAAAUUAGACAUAAUUUGACUUACCUUAGGUACUUUUAAAAUAAUUUAAGUACUUAGGAUAAAGUAAAAUUGGAAUUUUUUUUUUUUUUAAGUGUACCAAGGUUUGGGGUAAAACUCUUUUUGGGUAGUGCAGUAAGUUGGUGGCUGUGGACUGGUGUGAGGGGUUUCCUCUUGCCUGCCCACCUGCCUUCCCCUCCCAGAGCAGGGUGCAGCUUCGUGCUCUGCCUGGCUUUGCUGAUGGGUCCCUGUCCUUUCAUGUACCAUUAGGUGUUCAUACCUGAGCUCAACCUAAUUUACAUAUGUAUAUUUUUAAAAGUAAGGCAACAUAUCUCCAAAUGAUGUGGUACAGUAAUUCUUUUGUCAGGGACUGUCUGAUCCUAACUCCUUCCUGCUAGGUAAAGGUUGGGAUGUAUUUUCCAACUUCUGCUGUGUGUGUUCUUCAUGCCAUGCUACGUCUAACCAGGCCCUUCUGUUGAAGGCUUUUCGUUCUCUGCCUUGUGAAGGAAUGAUGGUGAUCAGCAGGCAUUCUGUAGAUACUACGUGCCUGAGCUUUUGGAGGGGAAGUGCCACAUGAAAUCAUGAUAUGCCCUAUUUUGUAUUUACUGAGGUUGGGGAGGCAAAAUAUGUUUGUAUUUACUUUUUUCCUUAAAAAUCAUGUUAAUUAAUUGCAACAUUUAUUUUUAAUAGCUUUGCCUCUUUUGCAUAUUGAGAAAUUUUUAAAUUAUAAAUUAUGUCACAAAGCAAAAUUAUGUUUGGUGUCACCAUGCACUUCUUUUCUGGACUGUGAGAACAGCCUUUUGACUGCUGGACCUGUGAGCCCACGUCAGUAGGUUUCUUACUUUAGUACGCUGUGAUGGGGUGAGAGUGAGUGGUUGCCUCACCUCAAAAGUGUCAUUUUCUCUGCUAGGCUGUUCUCACCACCCACUAGAGUCAUCAUUAGAUAACUGUAUUCCCAGAAAAUGCAUUUUGUCUCCAGUGUGCAUCAACUGAAGACUGUAGCAGAGCCGCACUCGGACUUCUCCUUAUCAGCUCUUCUUUGCCAGGGAGAGGAGAGUCAGGAGUAGUCAAUUUGGACUGUUAUUGGCUAUGUGUCCCUAUAUUAGCUGCUGAAAAUUGUUUAGUUGUCAAAACUGAGUUUGCAGUAGGUUGCACCUUUUAUUGUUUGCAAUUUUCUGUUUUAUGUGCAUUUAAAAGCCCUUCUUUGCUUUCGAGUGAGGAGGCAUGAACUGAUCAGGAAUGUUGCCAGCUACAGCUUCACGCCAAAAAUAUUGAGUAAGCUCCCUUUUGUUUAGAUGCCCAUGAUGGCUUCUGAAGGAAUACUGAUAGCAGAGCGAAUGAGUAGCAAAAGCACACUCCCUUCUGUUUUAGAGCAGACAGCCAAGCCUAUCAUUUGCUUUUUUUCUAGCUUUUUUUGUGAGCCCCCUGUUGGGAGAUUAUCUGUCUCUAAGCCCAGAGGUGUUUGUCCACUUUGUUACAACUCUAGUUGCUGAAACAAUUCUAGUCUCUCAAUAGUAGGUGGGUAUUAAUAUGCAAAGAAAAAUUCAGCAUCUUUUAUAAUGCUUAUAUGAGAUCAUAGCACUUAUGGUAAGGCAAUACUGGAAUCAAAAACAAACCCUACACAGAUCCUGAUGGGGUAGAAGCUAGUUUUAGUGUAGUGCUCAGUGCGCGAGAGACAGUAACAAAGAAGGCUCCCUCUGUCUCUGCAGGUUUCUGGGACCAUUUAUAAAGGCCAGUUCGUUGUGUUACUGUGAUUUACCUUGGAAGUUGCUGCAGUUAGUGACUGCAUAUGUGCUCUGAGGAUAUGAAUGUCAGCAACUGUAAUCUCUGGUGCCUGAAGGGAAGAUGGGCUCCUUUAAUUGUUGAUGUUAUUUUAGUAAUAAUACUCAAGACACUUUUUUUUUUUCUUCUGUAAAAAUGGCUUAGCAAUUUUCACACCUGGGUAGGUUACACAGCUAGGGAACAAUUCAGGACAAUAAGUGGCAGUUACAAGUAGCCCAGCAAGUGAUAGACUAUGCAAUGGACAAAUCUUCUAGUUACCAUCACAUUGCUGAAAAGCAAAGGUGAUUUUUCUCUAGUGAGCCUACUGUACGAGGUAUUCCUGCUUAGAAAUGACAGCAGUUCCCUGUUGGCAGGUAAUGUGGUCUGAUGCCCCUCUAUGAAAAGAGUAUGGUUUGAUGAGAAGCAGAUAGUCAUUAGAGAUGGAGUUGAGAAGUGAUCAUUUUAUGUUGUCAAAUAACUAUUUAUAAGUUUAAUCUCUUAAAGUAAACCAGACUCUCGACUAAAGGUCAGAAAAUCAUUCCCUCUGUGAGUCACACUAAAACUCCUCCGAAGCUCACUGUCCACACAGCAAAGUUAGUCCUCUGUGAGGAAGGGGGUCAUCUCCCUGCUAGAUACAGGUAUCCUGAGUGUUGAGUUUCUUUAACCUGAAAGAACAGUUUUCUGUUGGCUUGUUGCAUGGCUUCUUAUAAGUUGGCAUUAGAGUUGAGUCACACUGAGUUGAAACCUUACAGUGUGUUCCUUGAGCCUGGCCUGCCACUGUGCUCUGGCAUCCUGGGUGGCGUGGGUGGGUGGGUGGUUGUGGGUGGGCUUCCUCUGCAGUGACUGUCUAAAACCACUGCCUUCUUCUAGCGCAGUUCUCAGCAUGGCUCUGCAUUGUUUUGACAUUGCAGAGUGGGAGUGAGGAUAUUAACACUAAACUGUUUAAUAAAUAGGUUUGGAGUUCAUUACAAUUUUAAAGUAUUUACUUUUUAGUCUCCUUUUUAGACUUAAAAAAAUUAAACUCUAUUCUUUAUCUGACAUGUGUAGGAUAAUCUAGCACAGUGGUUUGUUGAAUGGUCAACACAAUUCUGCAGUGUAAUGAGGAAACUUAGAAACAUCUUUGGAAGAGAAUUUAGUCGGAGUGAAUGAAUGUUCUCUUGUAUUUUUUUUUCUCUAUUGCUACCCACAUUGGUCUAUGGAUUCUUCAUGUCAAAAUUAUCUCAUGGGAGACAGUCACUCAUGAAAAGACAUACUGUUUUCCCCCUUUC
rnacentral:lncRNA from 1 species